CCUCACUCCCGGUGCCGCCCCCGCCCCCACCUUCUCCCUCACUCCAUAGCCCGCGCCCGCGUUCUUCCUCCCCCAUCUCGUCUCAUCUCCGGUCGCUGCAGAGCAGCCCCGUUUCGCACCGCCACCAUGGUUGGCCUGCAGCGAGCAGCAGAGGACCUAGCCGCCGCGUCCGACCUCAACCGCCGCCCGAAACCCUAGCCCCUCCUUCCAACGGCAGGUCAAGCCAGCAGGAUCCCCUCCAAGAACAGCAUUUGAUGCGUGAGUGCAUCCCCUUCUCUUCUUCUUCUUCUUCUCGAUUUGAUGUGUGCGUGCGUGCUGUUGUGUGCAGGCCCGACUCAUCUCUGCUUGUGCACAACAAGGAAGGCCAUGGAGACGCUGCUCCCUAUGUUCAGCGCGUGGACGGACGAUGCAGCGUUGGGGAUGACUCAUGGCUGCCUCCGUUUGUGCGGUUUGCUACGAUCUAGCGAUGGGGAUGCAAGGAGAAGCUGCUACAAGCUGCUGCGUCCAGUUACACUUUUUCCAUCAUCCACUGCGGCCUUGCUGUUCUAUUCCUAUCACUAACAUUUUCAUGAUCCCUCACACAACAUGAUUUCCAGUACAGUAGUCUCAGUGUGUUGAGCUGAAAUGUUGAAUGAUGAAUGCAGACAGUAUUGCAACAUGCAUCUUUUUGAACAUGCAGGAAAAGUGUACAAGGACAAUGUCAGAAGUGCAUAUACCAUGUGACGCUAGAAUUAUUGCAUCCGAGUUAUGGGAGAGAAAUUGAUGUCUGGACUCUGGAGUGCCGGAGUGAUCUUGUAUAUUCUUUUAUGUGGUUCACUGCCUUUCUGGGUAGAACAUAUGUGGCUCAAAGAAGGUGAUGUAUUAGACAGACCUAUCGAUGGCGGAGUCCUAUUAAGAUUUAAGAAUGAAGCAAUUCAAGGCGAUGAGCAAGCUAACACAACUAGCUCUUAAGAUAAUUGCAAAGAAACUAUCACCUGAGGAAAUCAAGGGCCCAAAACAUAUGUCAAUUACAUGGACACGGUUGAAGAACCGUCACAGUUGAGGAACUGAAGGCUGGUUUAAGAAAGUUAAGUUAAAAGAUUAAUGAAGCAGAGGUUUAGAAGCUUAUGGUAGUAGUAAGAUCAUUGUUUCUUCACUCUUCGCCAUAAGUUAGGUACUCUCUCUGUAAACAAAUAUAAGAGCAUUUAGAUUGCGAUCUAAAUGCUCUUAUAUUUCUUUACAGAGGAAGUAAUGAAGAUUUCACUGACCAUGCUAUGAUUCAGGUUGUGUAGGCAAGAGUGGCAGCAUAGAUUACACUGAAUUCCUGACUGCCACGAUGAAUAUACAUAAGCUGGAAAAGGAGGAUGAUUUGCGGCAACAGUGCAAACCAUGGCGCUAAAUGUGUGCUGACAGCGCACCAGGGAGCUGCUGGCUGGCAGAGAUUUCUCACGGAAGCAACACAUAUGACAUAUCUUUGAUUCCUAUGGCAAUUCUCUCGCACUUGUUCUAUGAAACGUGUGGUAGUUCUCUUCUCUGCAUGUGGCGUGGUGGAGUUGUGGAGAAGGGAAGUGGAGGCGAGGUGACGGUUCUCUGAAUUUAGCUAUGACCCUUCCUCUCUCUGUUGUUUACAUCUUGAUCUGACAUGUUACUAUAUAUGCAUCCAUGCUGUCAAAAUCUAUGGUGUGCACCGCCACCGCAUAAACAAAUGAGUGGUCCACUAUGGUGAGUAUAGAUGCUUAAUCUGAGGGCCCACCUUAUUUUCGAUUGGGCGGGGUAGGUGGAGAGGGUGCUUAAUCUGAGGGCCCACCUCGACCUCACAUGGAGAUCGCUUCUAUAUACUUGAGUUCUGUCAUGGCCACAUAUAAUCACAUAAUAUCAUCUCUCAGAAUGUCCCCUGUUCGUCAUGGAUUGCACAUCUUGGUCAUAUGCACCAUUUGUCUUGCGCAUCAAAGUCUAGGAGGUCGACUCGAUGACCAAAAGGUUUCGCCAUCUCACUUCAACGACUCAAACACUUAUCUUUUCACCGCUUGGACAAUAUGUUUGUCUAACUUCUAUUUCAAGAGCGAUAUGUUCCUUCUACUUCAUCUUGUGCAAUAGCUUACAUGAGCUUAAUUGCCCAUCUUGCAUCAGAUGUAGUAUUUUGACUUGCAAACACUCUAGCCUCUAAUUAAACAACGAUAAUCAAACUGCAGAGAUAUACUCUUCAAAAUACAGGAUAACUAUUAUAUGAAUGGGCCUGUUAUAGGGAUUACAAAUGCUACAAUCUGUCUGCAGUUUUACAAGUAGAUAUGUGGAACGGUACAUGUAUUUGUGUUUCCUACCAUGUUUGGUGCCAUUCACUGAUCCCUUUGGCUUACUGAGAAAUUACUGGAACACUUCCAUCUAUGUGAAUUAGUUCAACUAGAGAAAUUAGGCUCUUUCAGAUCUAGGUACUUAAUAUCAUGCAUCAAGUGGUCGAAUCAAGCAUGUUGUCAACAGUAGAGUGGUGCCGGUUCUUUGGUUGAUAAGAUUGUUACUGUCCUAAAUAAAUACUGAAGUUCAGUACUAGCUCCAAUGUGAGUAGUUGAAUUACUGAUAAUGGAGGUAAUUCAGUGGUUAGCUAAAAAUGAUAAGGAUUUGAUGCAUUCACUCCCCCAUCUCAUGAUGAGGGAGAAGAGUAGGGAACACAUAUGUAUCUCAUGGCUCCCGAUUUCAUACAAAUUGAUGCAUUCUCUUUUGUAACCUGAAUGCUAGAGAAAAUUCACAACAAGGUUUUCUAUUAGAUAAAAAAAUCACAACAAGGUUGAAGUAUCAUGCAAAAUGGUGGCUGAUUUUUUCAUCUCACAGUUCAUACUUUUGAUAAUAUUUUGCAAGAGUGUGGUGGUUGUACGUGUAAUCCUUGAGUUUCCUUAUUUAUAUUUUGCAAAUUAAUUAACAUUAUGCCAUUUCACCAUGUUCGUCAAAAAGCGAAUUUUGGAUUUACACUAUCUGUUCAAUAGUUCAAUGUCAGUCAGGAGAUAAAAUGAUGCAUUCCCCUUUUAUGUAGCAAUCAGCAGCGUGCUCGUAGCAACACACAUGCAUUGUGACAUGUUGCUCGUAGCAACACAUAUGCAUUGCACUCAUCUGCUUUUUCAGUUGUAAAUAAAUUACUUGUCCUGUUCCCUCCUGUCUAUAUAUGAACAAGGUUUUAUAAAUUAUGUAUUUGAAUAUUUACAGAUCAACAUAACGGAUCAUUCCUUUUCGGUUGUAAAUAAAUUACAUGGCCAACUGCCUCCGGUCUAUAUGUGAAAAGGUUUCAUAACUUCUUUAUUUGAAUAUUAUGAUAAAAGAUAAUGUCUACUGACAUUUCUUUCAAAAUAGAAGUACUUUUGUUGGUUUGUUACAUGGCGGAUGGGAUCAUUCACCAACACGCUCAACCCGAAGAUGCGUCCCGCGCUGAAGAGAAUGAGUGUUCCUACAUUUUAGACAGUGUCCAUAUCGCAGAGAUUGUAGCAACAUGCAAAUCUUGGGCGAGGUGUCCCUUUCAUGGUCAUAUUGUAUUUAGCAUGCUACUAGGGUUCCGGAACAAGCAUCAAAAUGUUUUUGUUGUACCCAGUAACUAGAUUAUCAUUAGUAACAGUAGAAUCUUACAUAAUAUUUGUAUUGCCAAAUGUAUUCCUUGUUUGUUGUGGUGCUUA